UCCACCUAGAGGAGCCUGUCCUAUAACCGAUGAUCCCCGUUCAACCUCACCCCUUCUAGCCUCUCAGCUUGUAUACUUCCGUCGUCAGCCCACCUCGUGAGUGCUAUUUAGUGAGCCCUUAGCUUAAUCCGCUCAUACGUCAGGUCAAGGUGCAGCACAUGAAGGGGGGAAGAGAUGGGCUACAUUCUCUAACUUAGAGCACACAAAUGACUGCAUGAAACCCAGUCGGAAGGCGGAUUUAGAAGUAAAAGGAAAAUAGAGUGUUCUUUUUAAUUUGGCACUAGGGUGUGUACACACCGCCCGUCACCCUCCUCGAAGCCACUAGUCAGUAACUAACACCAGACAGCUCUCAAGAGGAGGU
rnacentral:rRNA from 1 species